rnacentral:rRNA from 1 species
UACGUAGGGGGCAAGCGUUGUCCGGAAUCAUUGGGCGUAAAGCGCGUGUAGGCGGCCUUGUAAGUCCGUUCUGAAAGCCCGGGGCUCAACCCCGGGAGGCGGAUGGAUACUGCAAGGCUCGAGUACGGAAGAGGCGAGUGGAAUUCCCGGUGUAGCGGUGAAAUGCGCAGAUAUCGGGAGGAACACCAGUGGCGAAGGCGGCUCACUGGUCCGGUACUGACGCUGAGGUGCGGAAAGCGUGGGGAGCAAACAGGG